rnacentral:rRNA from 1 species
CCACGAGCAGUUUUUUUUAUUCCCACGCAACUUCCUCUCUUUCCCAUCCCGACCGGCUAGGGUUCCGCCGGCGCCAUCCCUUCUCGUCCAGCGCUGGCCAACAGAGAAGGCGGGCGCGCGGAGGGGAUUCAACCUCGACCACGUCUGCGGCAACGGCGAGGGCCUCCGCUCGCAGGUCUCCGUCUCGCUGCUCGUCCGGGAGGCUGCACGGAGGGGAUUCGCUGUGAGCGAGGUGCCGUGGAUCGGCAAGCGAGCGCUCGGGACGAGGACCUUUUCUUCUUCUCCGGCCUCUUGGCAGUUGGGAUCCUCUGUCUUCUCGCCGUGGCUAGGGUUGCCGCCGUCGCCGCCCUCCCCAUCCUGACUCCUCUAGCGCCGGCCUCGACCCGCUUGGCGAUAAGGCACUGGUACUUCAGCUCCUAUGUCAUCCAUGAUUGACAGUGAUCAGAUGCCAACAAUGCAUGGGAGUGGAUGUCAUCACCCAGUGACGUGUCUCUUUGCCGAUUAUGGUUGGACCCUUUGCUGUUCGCGAAACCCAUAAUUCAUCCCAUAGUUCUUCCUCAACAUUGGUUGGGGGCGGGAUGGACCUACACAUCCGUCAAGCAUCAGGCAAACCUCCUGGGCGAGGCUUCCUUGUACAACAGAAAGCACAUCUGUGUGCCCUCCAGAUUCUCUUGUAGCACCUCCUGCUGCUUGCCCUUGCACGGUAGCAAGCCUAGCAGGUAGCAUCAACACAGGAAGGUGAGGUUGCCAGCGGCCGGUGGGUGGCUGCUCCAGCAAGAAACUAGCAGAGCCUAUCAUGUGGCAACAUGACUUAAGGUGGAGGCACACUGUAUUUUUUACUAUUACAUGAAAUUCCACUAACACCUGCAUCUGUUCUCUGUUCUUUGUUAUUUUUGUUUGUAAUCCUUCUGGUUCUGCUAAUUAGCCCCUUCAUGUUUUUCUUCAACUAUGGUUGUUCUUGUCAGGGUAUAUGGCUUUGCUUGAGAAGCCCACACAGAGCCAACAGUCGAGUCUGGGAUAUUCAAAGCACUUGAAAGAGCAAACUACUCGAUAGAAGUAGGAAAGAUUAAUGAUAUUCUGGGUGUGGAAGAACCAACAAUGGAGUUUCUGCUACUGGACAGGUAACUGCAUAUGCGUAGGUGCCUCAUUGUUGGACUGCCAGCUCACACAUGAUAAUUAUGCUUACAAUACUAAUAGUACUGGCUCGUAUAUGUUCUAGAUUUAUUGUUGUCUCUUAUUUUUAUUUUUAAGUACCAGUUUCAAGUCUCUAUACAGAAAUCAUGUCUUUUGAAUUGGUAUUGCUACUAUUUAUCGAAUGUCAUGUGCAGAAGUACAUGACCACCUAUGUGAUAAGAUCGUUGUAAUGUCACAAUUAUGUACUCCGCCAUGCAACCACAUCUUUAUUGAAAUAUAUUGCCAAAAAAAUAUGAAAAAAAUCAUAGGAUGUUAGGAGGCCAAAGGAGCACUAUAGCAAGAGGAUAGGGACAGAGGGAGUCCCUAGCCCCUAGGUACCCUCCAGCCCAGGGCGCCUAGGAGGCGUGCUUGCGCACCCUCUGACCUCUAUCAUAUCUAUCACCAUUUUUCCUCCGCCGCACAUCCGUAUGUAGUCCAUAUUGGAAUCUCUAAAAGGUCUUGUAUUUAGGAAUGGAGGGAGCAGUUGACAUCUUGAAAUUAGGACAAUUUUUUUGAGAAACAAGUAAGAUAUCUUUUAGCUCGGGCCUUAAGCUAAUCAAAGAAAAGAUCUACGACUAUUGCAUCCUUUGGAUUGUUAGGCCUCUAUAUAAAGGGGAUCCUCUAUGAGGAACAACUAAGCAGAGCAUAAGCCAAUAUUAUUCAUGGUCUCCUUGUAUGCAGCAGGCUUAGUUUAUCUUGUACUCCCUCCGUCCCAAAAUUCUUGUCUUAGAUUUGUCUAGAUACGGAUGUAUCUAACACUAAAACGUAACUAGAUACAUCCGUAUUUAGACAAAUCUAAGACAAGAAUUUUGGGAUGGAGGGAGUAUUUGUCCAGGUAAAAACAGCUGCACGUUCGACCUGAAGCUUCUCAAUUCUUUCCAGAUGCAUUAGAUAAUUGUACUGCCAUGUGUUUUUGGCUCCCAUGUAUCCUCCAAUUCAUCAGGUAUGCCUUCUUGCUGAACUAAUUAAUCACAUUUAACUAUAGCAUCUCAGUUGCAUCAUACUAGCUUUAUUCUAUGAUUUUGGCUUUCUAUGUGUAUGCCGAAAUAUGUGAUCAGAUAAGAAUAUCCAGUUGCAAAAGAAUAUGAAAUUGCCAAUUUACUUUCAAGGGUAGGCGGAGCUAAAAUAGUUUUGGUUGGCGACGUUUUUCUGUGAAUCCCUUUCACCCUAAUAGGUGACAUCCCUUCCUUUUUGUUAUCCACCCCAUGCAUCAGGCCUACCUCUGACUAGCUCCCUGCAAACAUUUUGGGCAUUUGAUAGCAAACUGGCGAAGUGGUUUUGUAUAACUAUAAUAAAUGGGGUUGAACUGGUUUUGAUAUUGUUUCUGGUACUAACCAGUAGGCUGUUACAAUUUUGUCCUUGUUCCCUCAUUUAAAGACUCAUUUUUGUCUUAUUUAGCAAGCAUCCUCUGGAAGUCGGCCAUGGUUUUGGUUCCCUACUCCUGACAGUAGUUGGGGUAGUGGCGGUUCGAAGGAUGAACUUCCAUGGAAGAUCGAAGCUUUAGUCCUUGACUCAGCUCGUGCACACCCUGGGGCUCUACGGUCAUUCGAAGUCCAUCAUGAUGAUUGCACACUUUUUACUGGGGGAGUUGGACAUGGUUUUAAAGGGUGUAUACAUCAUUGGGAGUUGUCCAACGUCUUAUUCAGAAACUGCAUGAUUUGAAUGACGGAUCAGAUGAGGCCGCUGGCCAUGGCGCAUAGGCCUGCUUACGGCGGGACAUGAAUUAGCUGAUGGCGACGCGUGCAGGCAGAGCUCGCCACCUUGAACCCAACACGAGGCGAAGCUGGAAACCGGCAUCACAGGCGCGCACGCGUCCAUGCCACGCUCCCCGAUGGCGGGUGGCACACCAAGCCGUCGUCUCCGUCCACCAUGAAGUGCCCCACCCUGUUAAGUAAAGGUGGAGAAUCCUCUUUGAAGUGUAUGGUGUUCCCUAUGUAGAAUUUUUGUUGAGCAAACAAUGUUGAGUGACUUUUUGAAUCAAGUAUGAUCUGGAUUGCACAGGAUACCGCCUGCUCUUUGUUGAAUGACUUUUUGAAUGAAGUGUGAUCUGGA